CAGCACCCUGUGCAGCACUCUGUAGAAAUUGGGGAAAAAGAAGAGUUCACACUUUUUUUCUUCCCCUGCAGGGGAGCAAGGGAGAAG